rnacentral:sRNA from 1 species
GCUGGGCAUGGUGGCGCGUGCCUGUAAUCCCAGCUACUCAGGAGGCUGAGGCAGGAGAAUUGCCUGAACCCAGGAGGUGGAGGUUGCAGUGAGCUGAAAUCACGCCACUGCACUCCAGCCUGGGUAACAAGAGCAAAACUCUGUCUCAA